UGACCCAGCCAUGCCGCGUGCAGGAAGACGGCCCUAUGGGUUGUAAACUGCUUUUAUACAGGAAGAAACCCUCGUACGNGUACGAGCUUGACGGUACUGUAAGAAUAAGGACCGGCUAACUCCGUGCCAGCAGCCGCGGUAAUACGGAGGGUCCGAGCGUUAUCCGGAAUCAUUGGGUUUAAAGGGUCCGCAGGCGGUCGAUUAAGUCAGAGGUGAAAUCCCAUAGCUCAACUGUGGAACUGCCUUUGAUACUGGUUGACUUGAGUCAUAUGGAAGUAGAUAGAAUGUGUAGUGUAGCGGUGAAAUGCAUAGAUAUUACACAGAAUACCGAUUGCGAAGGCAGCCUACUACGUAUGUACUGACGCUGAUGGACGAAAGCGUGGGGAGCGAACAGGAUUAGAUACCCUGGUAGUCCACGCCGUAAACGAUGGAUACUAGCUGUUGGGCAU
rnacentral:rRNA from 1 species